rnacentral:rRNA from 1 species
AACGAACGCUGGCGGCAGGCCUAACACAUGCAAGUCGAACGCCCUGGCAACAGGGAGUGGCAGACGGGUGAGUAACGCGUGGGAACGUGCCCUUCGGUUCGGAAUAACUCAGGGAAACUUGAGCUAAUACCGGAUACGUGCGAGAGCAGAAAGAUUUAUCGCCGAAGGAUCGGCCCGCGUCCGAUUAGCUAGUUGGUGAGGUAACGGCUCAUCAAGGCGACGAUCGGUAGCUGGUCUGAGAGGAUGAUCAGCCACACUGGGACUGAGACACGGCCCAGACUCCGACGGGAGGCAGCAGUGGGGAAUAUUGGACAAUGGGCGCAAGCCUGAUCCAGCCAUGCCGCGUGAGUGAUGAAGGCCCUAGGGUUGUAAAGCUCUUUCGCCAGGGACGAUAAUGACGGUACCUGGAUAAGAAGCCCCGGCUAACUUCGUGCCAGCCGCCGCCGUAA